rnacentral:rRNA from 1 species
UAGUCCCGGCCGUAAACGUUGUAGACUCGGUGUGGGGGAUUUGACCCCCUCCGUGCCUAAGCUAACGCGUUAAGUCUACCGCCUGGGGAGUACGGCGGCAACGCUAAAACUCAAAGGAAUUGACGGGGGCCCGCACAAGCGGUGGAGCAUGUGGCUUAAUUCGAGGCAACGCGAAGAACCUUACCUGGGCUUGACAUAUACUGGACCGCCUCUGAAAGGAGGCUUUUCUUCGGAACUGGUAUACAGGUGCUGCAUGGCUGUCAUCAGCUCGUGCCGUGAGGUGUUCGGUUAAGUCCGGCAACGAGCGCAACCCGUGUCAUUAGUUGCCAGCAAGUAAAGUUGGGGACUCUAAUGAGACUGCCCGUGUUAAGCGGGAGGAAGGCGCGGACGACGUCAAGUCAGCAUGGCCCUUACGCCCAGGGCUGCACACGUGCUACAAUGGCCGGUCCAAUAGGAAGCAAUACUGCGAGGUGGAGCUAAUCCCCAAAACCGGUCUCAGUUCGGAUAGUAGUCUGCAACUCGACUA